AUUGAACGCUGGCGGCAGGCCUAACCCAUGCAAGUCGAGCGGUGCGGCGGACGGGUGAGUAAUGCCUAGGAAUCUGCCUGGUCGUGUGGGUUAACGUCCGGAAACGGGCGCUAAUCCCGCAUACUAUCAGAUUAGCCUAGGUCGGAUUAGCUAGUUGGUGGGGUAAAGGCCUACCAAGGCGACGAUCCGUAACUGGUCGGAGAGGAGGAUCAGUCACACUGGAACUGAGAGACGGUCCAGACUCCUACGGGAGGCAGCAGUGGGGAAUAUUGGACAAUGGGCGAAAGCCUGAUCCAGCCAUGCCGCGUGUGUGAAGAAGGUCUUCGGAUUGUAAAGCACUUUAAGUUGGGAGGCGUUACCAACAGAAUAAGCACCGGCUAACUUCGUGCCAGCAGCCGCGGUAAUAC
rnacentral:rRNA from 1 species